CUGCAUUUUAGAAUCCUUCCAUAAAUUACACACCUCCUUUAAAAAUGAUCCAAGAUGUAACUUGCUUUCAAAGUUGUCUAAAUUGCAAGGAUCUACACUGAAGGAAAAAUUCAAUGUGAAUUCCAAAUUCAAGACAAAACAAAUCUUCCAUUUUGGCAUAAAGAAGUUAGCAUAUUCCUUUGAAAAUAUAACUCUUUGAAUACAUCCCGUUACCUAAUAGUGUGUAUGGUGAAUGAGUUUACAUGUAAUCUUUAGGUGGGUGAAGAUCCAAAGGCCUCUUAAAAAUGAAAACCGAAAUUGAUGCACCCAAACAACAGCACUUCACGCACUGUUAUCCACAACUUACAAACCAAAAUCAGAUGUCAAUUCUUAGGGACACAAAUUGUAGCCGUUGGUCAAAUACCUGAAAGGUAUGAAACACAUCCAGCUAUUAAAGGACCAAUAUAGUCACCCAGACCACUUCAG